CGCAAAGCCUGAUCCAGGCCAUGCCGCGUGUGUGAAGAAGGCCUUUUGGGUUGUAAAGCACUUUAAGCGAGGAGGAGGCUACUUGGAUUAAUACUCUAGGAUAGUGGACGUUACUCGCAGAAUAAGCACCGGCUAACUCUGUGCCAGCAGCCGCGGUAAUACAGAGGGUGCGAGCGUUAAUCGGAUUUACUGGGCGUAAAGCGUGCGUAGGCGGCUUUUUAAGUCGGAUGUGAAAUCCCUGAGCUUAACUUAGGAAUUGCAUUCGAUACUGGGAAGCUAGAGUAUGGGAGAGGAUGGUAGAAUUCCAGGUGUAGCGGUGAAAUGCGUAGAGAUCUGGAGGAAUACCGAUGGCGAAGGCAGCCAUCUGGCCUAAUACUGACGCUGAGGUACGAAAGCAUGGGGAGCAAACAGGAUUAGAUACCCUGGUAGUCCAUGCCGUAAACGAUGUCUACUAGCCGUUGGGGCCUUUGAGGCUUUAGUGGCGCAGCUAACGCGAUAAGUAGACCGCCUGGGGAGUACGGUCGCAAGACUAAAACUCAAAUGAAUUGACGGGGGCCCGCACAAGCGGUGGAGCAUGUGGUUUAAUUCGAUGCAACGCGAAGAACCUUACCUGGUCUUGACAUAGUAAGAACUUUCCAGAGAUGGAUUGGUGCCUUCGGGAACUUACAUACAGGUGCUGCAUGGCUGUCGUCAGCUCGUGUCGUGAGAUGUUGGGUUAAGUCCCGCAACGAGCGCAACCCUUUUCCUUAUUUGCCAGCGGGUUAAGCCGGGAACUUUAAGGAUACUGCCAGUGACAAACUGGAGGAAGGCGGGGACGACGUCAAGUCAUCAUGGCCCUUACGACCAGGGCUACACACGUGCUACAAUGGUCGGUACAAAGGGUUGCUACCUAGCGAUAGGAUGCUAAUCUCAAAAAGCCGAUCGUAGUCCGGAUUGGAGUCUGCAACUCGACUCCAUGAAGUCGGAAUCGCUAGUAAUCGCGGAUCAGAAUGCCGCGGUGAAUACGUUCCCGGGCCUUGUACACACCGCCCGUCACACCAUGGGAAUUUGUUGCACCAGAAGUAGGUAGUCUAACCGCAAGGAGGACGCUACCAUCGUGAC
rnacentral:rRNA from 1 species